UUAACUCGAGGAUAACUCUGGGAAACUGGAGCUAAUACUGGAUAGGACAUAUUGAGGCAUCUUGAUAUGUUUAAAGAUUUAUCGGUUAAGGAGGGGUCUGCGGCGCAUUAGUUAGUUGGUGAGGUAAAAGCUUACCAAGACGAUGAUGCGUAGCCGGACUGAGAGGUCGAACGGCCACAUUGGGACUGAGAACGGCCCAAACUCCUACGGGAGGCAGCAGUAGGGAAUUUUCGGCAAUGGGGGGAACCCUGACCGAGCAACGCCGCGUGGACGAAGAAGUUCUUCGGAAUGUAAAGUCCUUUUAUCUGGGAAGAAAAAUAACCAAAUUGACGGUACCAGAUGAAUAAGCCCCGGCUAACUAUGUGCCAGCAGCCGCGGUAAUACAUAGGGGGCGAGCGUUAUCCGGAUUUACUGGGCGUAAAGGGUGCGUAGGCGGUUAAUUAAGUUUCUGGUGUAAGUGCAGUGCUUAACGCUGUGAUGCUAGGAAAACUGGUUAACUAGAGUGAGACAGAGGCAAGUGGAAUUCCAUGUGUAGCGGUAAAAUGCGUAAAUAUAUGGAGGAACACCAGUGGCGAAGGCGGCUUGCUGGGUCUAUACUGACGCUGAGGCACGAAAGCGUGGGGAGCAAACAGGAUUAGAUACCCUGGUAGUCCACGCCGUAAACGAUGAGUACUAAGUGUUGGCCAAAAGGUCAGUGCUGAAGUAAACACAUUAAGUACUCCGCCUGAGUAGUACGUACGCAAGUAUGAAACUCAAAGGAAUUGACGGGACCCCGCACAAGCGGUGGAUCAUGUUGUUUAAUUCGACGAUACGCGAAGAACCUUACCAGGUCUUGACAUGCUCUGCAAAGGCUUAGAAAUAAGUACGGAGGUUAACAGAUGCACAGGUGGUGCACGGUUGUCGUCAGCUCGUGUCGUGAGAUGUUGGGUUAAGUCCCGCAACGAGCGCAACCCUUAUCGUUAGUUACCAUCAUUAAGUUGGGGACUCUAGCGAGACUGCCAGUGA
rnacentral:rRNA from 1 species